rnacentral:rRNA from 1 species
UGGGGAAUAUUGCACAAUGGGCGCAAGCCUGAUGCAGCCAUGCCGCGUGUAUGAAGAAGGCCUUCGGGUUGUAAAGUACUUUCAGUCGGGAGGAAGGUGGUAAGGUUAAUAACCUUGGCAAUUGACGUUACCGACAGAAGACGCACCGGCUAACUCCGAGCCAGCAGCCGCGGUAAUACGGAGGGUGCAAGCGUUAAUCGGAAUUACUGGGCGUAAAGCGCACGCAGGCGGUUGAUUGAGUCAGAUGUGAAAGCACCGGGCUGAACCCGGGAAUUGCAUCUGAUACUGGUCAGCUAGAGUGUUGUAGAGGGGGGUAGAAGGCCAUGUGUAGCGGGGAAAUGCGUAGAGAUGUGGAGGAAUACCGGUGGCGAAGGCGGCCCCCUGGACGAAGACUGACGCUCAGGUGCGAAAGCGUGGGGAGCAAACAGG